UGUUUCUUUCCUCCGGUUAUCAAACUAGCUUCGUCUUCCACGGCCAUGAGCUCCCACUGUUUACCUCGUCUCUAACCGUGCUAUGGGACACCUACGCUGUCUCGUUUAAGGCUGGUGACUAACUGCUCCAGUUUUCCACAUAUUAACAUUUUCUCUGACAAGAAGAGUUGGUGAUAAACUGAAGUAUCCAUUCUGACUGACUAAAGCGAGCUGAUGCUGAAGUACUGGAACAAGUUUAAAAACUGUCGUAAACCGCUGAGCUGUCGCAA